rnacentral:lncRNA from 1 species
ACAAACACAAAAGACACGCUGAGGGGCCGCCGGCUCCCGCCGAGACUGCCGCCCGCACCCGGCCAGCCCCCGCCCCCGGCCCUGCACUCCCAUCCCGCUCCGUGUGCGCACGGCGUCGAACCCCCGAAGCCCGGGUUUGGGGCGCCCGGAGGGAAGUGGGGGGAGGGGAAGGCGGGCGGAGGCGCGGCGGGUGAACGCCCGGCCUGCGGGCGUCUCGGGCCGCGGCGGGGAGGGGAGGGAGGGGCUGCCCCCGCGCGGGCCCCGGCGCGCGCCCCCGAGGAGACCCGGGCGGCAGUGGGGGAGGAGGACGCGGUCGGCCGGGUCGCCGCGCCCCAUUGGAAAACGCUCCCCAGCAGGAAGCUGGCAAAUAGGAAUCCAGCGUCCCGCGCCCGCUGUCGGACCUGGCCGCUGCGGCAGCGGGAGGGGCGGACCGACGGCCUCCUUCCCGCCUGCGCGCUCGGCCAAGUGCGGCCGGGUCCUGCGGGACCGGCCCGAGUCCGCCGUAGACAACUUGAUCCGCUAAGACUCCUGGGCCGGCCGCCUGCGUGCAGGGCAGCCCCUCGCCGGUGUUGGCCUCCGGGAUCAGGGGACGGGGCUCGCUCUCCUCCCGGGCCCGGGCCCCCGACGCAAGAUGGCUGUGUCGCGUCGGCCUCUAAACAAUGUGUGGAGCGCGCAGCUCCUGCACCAGGGCCUGGUGGCUUGUCCUGCCCGCCCGUGGGGGCCGUGUGAUCUGUUUUCGGUAGGAUUGCUUUGGAAAGGAAUUGCCGAAUAUAGAUAGUCAAAUGUCCGCAGCUUCUGCAUAGUUUAGAAGAGGCUGAAAACGGCAGAAAGAAGGCAAACGUGGUUUGGGAAUUAGUACAUAUACCUGUUUUCCAAUUCUCAGUAGCAUAGGAAACGGACUUUUCAUGGCCCAAGUUAUCCUCACGACUUGUCAGUUGAUUGGCUUUGGAACCUCUGAACCGUCCCUAGAUGGUAUUGACGCUUCACAACUGUGUGUAAAGGUUUUCAAUGGAAGGGUCAUGCAAAUAUCCCGUAGGGUAGUGAAGGAGGAAAAUUUCAUAAAUGAAGGGCAGUAAUUAUUUGUAAUCUGAAGAUCUCACAAAGCGGCUUAGUGAUAAACAUUAUCCCGAAACAGAUACAUGGAAAUCAGAUACGAGGGAAGAAAUGGAUUUGUCCAAGGUCACUUAAGUGAGGAAGAGACCUAGGAGAAACAAACAGACAAAAAUCCAGGCCUCCCGUUUCAUUAUUAUUUCAUGAAUGUUAAGUGUCCAUGGUUGCUGUGCAGAACACAUGCAAUCUCUAAUCCUAUCCUAAAAGCACAUAUGCAAUCAGCUUGGACCGAGCUGCCAGCAAAGAAUUUCCUAUAAUUCAAGCCAAGAUGAGUUAUUUUGCUUGUUUUUUGUUUUGUUUUCAGGAAACCGAAAUAUUUAUUGUUGGAUUUAUCCAGGAAGGCUGUUCUGCAUUAGUUAAAUGCAUCAUAUCUUCAAGAAAUGUUAAAUGACAUGGAUGCUUCCAGCCCUGAAGCAUCAGACUCCAGGUUCUUUGGCUUUUGGACUCUUGGAGUUACACCAGUGGUUUCCCAGGAACUCUCCAGCCUUGGGCCACAGACUGAAGUUUGCACUGUCGGCUUCCCUGCUUUUGAGGUUUUGUGACUCAGACUGAGCCAACUGGCUUCCUUGCUCUUCAGGUUGCGGACGGCCUAUCGUGGGACUUUGCCUUGUGAUUGUAGAGAGGGUUUGUUUUGUUGUCCAUGCUGGUCUCAAACUCCUGGCCUCAAGCAAUCCUUUUGCCUCAGCCUGCCAAAGUCCUAGGAUUAUAGGUGUGAGCCACCACCUCCAACUUAGCCGAGAAUAUCUUGGUCCUCAGAUGGUGGAUUCAGAAGG